rnacentral:rRNA from 1 species
CCUACGGGUGGCUGCAGUGGGGAAUAUUGCACAAUGGGGAAACCCGGAGGCAGCAACGCCGCGUGAGUGAGGACGGCCUUCGGGUGGUAAAGCUCUGUAUUCAGGGACGAUAAGGACGGGACCGGACCAAGAAGCCCCGGCUAAUUACGUGCCAGCAGCCGCGGAAAUACGUAGGGGGCAAGCGUUAUCCGGAUUUACUGGGUGUAAAGGGAGCGUAGACGGCAGGGCAAGUCUGGAGGGAAAGGCGGGGGCUCACCCCCCGGACUGCUCUGGAAACUGCCAGUCUGGAGUGCAGGAGAGGUAAGUGGACUUCCUAGUGUAGCGGUUAAAUGCGUAGAUAUUAGGAGGCACCCCAGUGGCGACGGCGGCUUACUGGACUGUACCUGACGUUGAGGCUCGAAAGCGUGGGGAGCAAACAGGAUUAGAUACCCCAGUAGUC